AGGAUAUGCCUAGGUGGGAUUAGCUAGUUGGUGAGGUAAGGGCUCACCAAGGCGACGAUCCCUAGCUGGUCUGAGAGGAUGAUCAGCCACACUGGAACUGAGACACGGUCCAGACUCCUACGGGAGGCAGCAGUGGGGAAUAUUGCACAAUGGGCGCAAGCCUGAUGCAGCCAUGCCGCGUGUGUGAAGAAGGCCUUCGGGUUGUAAAGCACUUUCAGUCGUGAGGAAGGUAGUGUAGUUAAUAGCUGCAUUAUUUGACGUUAGCGACAGAAGAAGCACCGGCUAACUCCGUGCCAGCAGCCGCGGUAAUACGGAGGGUGCGAGCGUUAAUCGGAAUUACUGGGCGUAAAGCGCAUGCAGGUGGUUUGUUAAGUCAGAUGUGAAAGCCCGGGGCUCAACC
rnacentral:rRNA from 1 species